CAGCCGCCGCGGGAAUACGUAGGGUGCAAGCGUUAAUCGGAAUUACUGGGCGUAAAGCGCGCGCAGGUGGUUUAAUAAGUCUGAUGUGAAAGCCCACGGCUCAACCGUGGAGGGUCAUUGGAAACUGUUAAACUUGAGUGCAGGAGAGAAAAGUGGAAUUCCUAGUGUAGCGGUGAAAUGCGUAGAGAUUAGGAGGAACACCAGUGGCGAAGGCGGCUUUUUGGCCUGUAACUGACACUGAGGCGCGAAAGCGUGGGGAGCAAACAGGAUUAGAUACCCCAGUAGUCCCUGUCUCUUAUAA
rnacentral:rRNA from 1 species